UUGCUUCCUCACAGAACUCUAUCAAGAUAAAGGAGGAGAAUUUACAUUUGAAAACAUGACCCAAAUGCAGUAGCCUUCAGGGAUUCUAUGUUAUGUCCAAGGAAUUGGGUGGUAAACAAGAUCCACAGAGGUCUGCUUCAACUAGCUGACAUACUAAAAUCUGAAUGUAGAGAAGCAACAGAACCUGAAGUAAGUCAUCAGCUGAGCACUGUAUUCAACCACAUUUACUGAAUACUCAGCAGCGUAAUGGAUUUAUUAUAUGAGCAAUCUCCGUAAAUGUAGGAAGACAGGCCCUAUGUCCUUAAAGAUACAACCUAAAAAGAAAAAUAAAUUUAAGGAGAGAAAACUUUAAGAGAACUACAUUAUCCACAAAAAUAUUCUAAGUACUGCCAUGCUAUAAAGUCCAGCUGCGAAACUAGUCCUACCUCAUGUAUAAUGCACCAAAUACCAAGCUGCAGAAUUUAAAGUAAUUUUAAGAAUUAUGGGUGGAGAUGAACACAUUUCUCUUUAAAGGUUCUACUAAGUUGAAACUCAUGCAAAUAUGCUAUAGACAUUUACAUUCUUACAUUCGAAUCCUCUAACCCCUAA